UACAGAGGGUGCAAGCGUUGUUCGGAAUUAUUGGGCGUAAAGCGCGUGUAGGCGGCUUUGCAAGUCGGGCGUGAAAUCCCUAGGCUCAACCUAGGAACUGCACUCGAAACUGUUUAUCUUGAGUGCCGGAGAGGAAAGCGGAAUUCCUGGUGUAGAGGUGAAAUUCGUAGAUAUCAGGAGGAACACCAGUGGCGAAGGCGGCUUUCUGGACGGUAACUGACGCUGAGACGCGAAAAGCGUGGGGGAGCAAACAGG
rnacentral:rRNA from 1 species